GAUUGCCAAUGGAUCUUUAUGAGAUAAUUGUGAAUCUUCCUAGGCCAAGAUGCCUCUCUAAUCAUGACAUGGAUGAGCUCCUCUACUUCCUACCAAACAUUUCCUGUUGCAGGUAGCCAUGAAACCCUAAUUUCUGAUUAAAUCCAUAUGAACACUCUGAUAGCUUUGAAUCUUUCACUGAUGAACUGAGGACCAUAAUAAGAUACUUGGACCCCCCCGAGACCCUUGAGACUUGUAUACUUAGAAAAUGAAGUCCAAUUCUCAAUCUUGCUUUGUAUGGGCUACUUCUGUUAAGGAGUGAUCGAUCAAAACCUGAUCUCCAUAUCACUAAUGCAGUAUGUAAUGAGUAUGACCUAAUAUGAUGCUAAUGAAGUGUAAAACAUAAUCCCAUGCUUCCAGGAAAAAUGAAG
rnacentral:lncRNA from 1 species